rnacentral:rRNA from 1 species
GACGAACGCUGGCGGCGUGCUUAACACAUGCAAGUCGAACGGAAAGGCCCUGCUUUUGUGGGGUGCUCGAGUGGCGAACGGGUGAGUAACACGGGAGUCACCUGCCCUUGACUUUGGGAUAACUUCAGGAAACUGGGGCUAAUACCGGAUAGGAGCUCCUGCUGCAUGGUGGGGGUUGGAAAGUUUCGGCGGUUGGGGAUGGACUCGCGGCUUAUCAGCUUGUUGGUGGGGUAGUGGCUUACCAAGGCUUUGACGGGUAGCCGGCCUGAGAGGGUGACCGGCCACAUUGGGACUGAGAUACGGCCCAGACUCCUACGGGAGGCAGCAGUGGGGAAUAUUGCACAAUGGGCGGAAGCCUGAUGCAGCAACGCCGCGUGCGGGAUGACGGCCUUGGGGUUGUAAACCGCUUUCGCCUGUGACGAAGCGUGAGUGACGGUAAUGGGUAAAGAAGCACCGGCUAACUACGUG